UACGGGGGGGGCAAGCGUUGUUCGGAAUUACGGGGCGUAAAGGGCUUGUAGGUGGCCAACUAAGUCAGACGUGAAAUCCCUCGGCUUAACCGGGGAACUGCGUCUGAUACUGGAUGGCUGGAGUGUGGGAGAGGGAUGCGGAAUUCCAGGUGUAGCGGUGAAAUGCGUAGAUAUCUGGAGGAACACCGGUGGCGAAGGCGGCAUCCUGGACCAUUACUGACACUGAAAAGCGAAAGCCAGGGGAGCAAACGGG
rnacentral:rRNA from 1 species